ACGCUCGACACCUACGGAGGCAGCAGUCGGGAAUAUUGCGCAAUGGAGGAAACUCUGACGCAGUGACGCCGCGUGCAGGAAGAAGGUUUUCGGAUUGUAAACUGCUUUAGACAGGGAAGAAAGAAAUGACAGUACCUGUAGAAUAAGCUCCGGCUAACUACGUGCCGGCAGCCGCGGUAAUCUGAGCGGGCUGGCAAGGC
rnacentral:rRNA from 1 species